GGUCACUUUCUAUCCACUUCUCAGGCACUGUGAGGCUGCAGAAUGACGUCCAAGUUUCAGUCAAGCUCAUCCCAUCCUCCCAUGGGACAUAGAAGAGAGAUGGCUGCAAAGGAGUCAGUCCAGGGGCCGGUGACCUUCGAGGAGGUGGCUGUGUAUUUCACCAGGGGAG